ACUGUUUAUUUAUAUUAUUUUGAAAGUAUAUUAUGGGUGUUAUAUCAGCGAAUAGGGUUCACAAUGCAAUUAUGUUAUUAAGCUGCAUUGUUUGGGAGAUUAGGACUGUUAUUUUUUAUAAGUGUACAAUCUGAACAGCUUUUUAAUAGGAAAUCGUUUUAACUUAAAUAAGCAUUGCUUUAAUGAUGCUUGGUUAUGCCCUCUCUGUGACAGAGCGCGAGUGUCUGUAAAUGUACAGUGUUAUUAUCAGUAUUUUAUUCUCAGCGGGAGUUUGGUGUAUGAAGGAGUUAACGUCCCCUCCCCCUCGCUGCUGGGCCACUCUGUGUUUCAUAUGCGUUACUGCGGCUUCACUUUGCGUGUCUGAGGGCCACUGAAGUAGCAUCUGGUGGGUCUAUACUGGAAACAACAUACACUGCUAGUGAACAAGUUCCAUUCAGUCUAAGACACAUCCUCUGAGUAAUCUGAAUGCUUUCAUCUUACCUGUAGACAAGAAGCAAAUACUCCCAGUCCUGCCCCUCUGUGAAAACUUUCUUUCUUUGUCCUUGUAUCUUUUCUAAUAAUUGAAUCACUGGAUUUAUUUUUUAUGUCUGUUUGUAAUGUAAAUGGAGUAAUGAAUUAGUACUUUUCUUGGGAUACUUUACAGAUGAGACAUGUGUUUUUGUUCUUAAGGUUUUAAUAUUUUGUAUUUUUACAGAAUUUUGCAGCAGUUAUUAAAGAAUCUGUUUUUAUUGCAGAAAAUUAGUUUGGAUUGUUUUUUUUUUAGU